UCUUAGUGAAUGUUAAGUGACCAGAAAUUUUUUAAUCAACAAUAUCUAUUUGUGGCUGCAGAUUGUGCAAAUGAGGUUAUCAAUUAUAGUAUUUGCUCAGUGGAGUUUAGUAUCAUUCUGUUUGGUAUAGCCAAAUUGCAGAUUUGUUCUGCUGGGGGUCCUAUGUUCUGUAUGGAUAAUGGUUUUAGCUAUCUAUACUUUCUGCUUUCUUGAAGAAUUAAUCAUGGUUGGGAUCCCUGAUCAGCAGAAUAAUUGGAAAUUUGAAACUUUCAAUUUCAAAUAUUCGCAUCAGAUAUGAGGAUGUUGAGAGCAAUUUUGGUCAUCUGUUUGCAGCAGGCAUAACCUUGG